CUGCCAUUCAUGGUGGCUUCAAAUACUAUCCUAAUUAUGGACUGUUUUGAACACGGAUCAUCCCCAUACUUCAUUCAAAUCCAGCCAUCACUUUUCCUUGAGUUUACAGCAGGGCCUCCUCUUCCUCUUUGGCCUCUUCCUUGGCCACCUCCCUCUAUUCCAUGGCCACCUCCCCCGCUUCCUUGGCCACCUCCCCCUCUUCCUUGGCCAGCUGCCACUCUUUUUUGGCCAUCUCCUCCUCCUUGGCCACCUCCUCUUCCUGCUCCUCUCCCGCCACCUCGUCAAUGCUUCCAUUUACCCCUAUGUUGUCUCCUUUUCUUCUAACAACAAAAAGAGAUUAGGGUAACUUAUACUAAUAAUAAGAACACAAUGCACAUUAACAUGUUUUAAAUAC